GACGUAGGAUGCAAGCGUUGUCCGGAUUUAUUGGGCGUAAAGAGUUCGUAGGCGGUUAGUUAAGUCUGAUGUUAAAGACCGUGGCUCAACCACGGAAAUGCAUUGGAUACUGGCUAACUUGAGUGCGGUAGAGGCGAGUGGAAUUCCCAGUGUAGCGGUGAAAUGCGUAGAUAUUGGGAAGAACACCAGUGGCGUAAGCGACUCGCUGGGCCGUAACUGACGCUGAGGAACGAAAGCCAGGGGAGCGAAU
rnacentral:rRNA from 1 species